CACACGCACACAUGCUACCCUUGCUGCACCUCCUUCAUGCCCUCGUCCUGUUCCAUGCCUUUAAAAUGCAGCUGCAACCGAAGACGUCCUCGGAACUCAGCUGAGACGCCUCCAAUCAGGCAAGCUACGGCCCCCGAGGCUCGCUGGGGUUAACAAAACAUACCGACACUGAUGAGAUUACACGUCAUUCCCACAAAGCCUUUGCCAAGUCUGGCACGGUUUGCUCCAAACCACCGAGUUUCAAGAUUCAACUCCAACAAGCACCACCAGACUUCCUUGUUGACGGAAGCUGACUUAUAUGAGUGACCGGGCUGCCAAAUGUGUCCCUAAUGGCAAACAAACGGCUGGAGUUUUUUUUGCCGCAAUGUUUUUACUUCCACACUGCAGCCACUGUGCCCGUCCUUUGUUUGCGAGCUCUUGCAUGUUUAACUGCCGCACUGAAAGUGACCGAGAGAGGCGGGGGUAUUUUUACACGAGAGACUGAAAAAGAGCCAUUGGCAGAACAUUUCACAAGCUUUCCGAUGUACCUCUGACAGUCCCACUGGGACAUGUCUUCCAGGACCUUUACCCCCUCUGAAUGAAGAGAUUGCCAGAAGCAAUUUGGGCUGUUGGACACGAAGAACCGAGGCGGAAAAUGACUGAGAUAGUUGCACAGGGAAAAGGACAAAUAAGUGCAUACCUCCAUCAAGGCAAGGUGGUUAAAUUCACCUGGCCUGACAAUGAAAUAGUAAUGAAGAUGAAAUCAUAAUGUCUAUUUUGGAAGAGCGCUACUUAGGAUCAAUCCAUCAAUCCAUUUUCUAUCGCUUGUCCCAUUCGGAGUCGCGGGGGGUGCUGGAGCCUAUAUCAGCUGCAUUUGGGCGGAAGGCGGUGUACACCCUGGACAACACAGAUAGACAGACAACUUUCACACACUAGGGACAAUUUACAGUUGUGAUCAAAAUUAUUCAACCCCCACACAAUUUUGGUGUUUUAGCAAGUUGGACAUUUAUUCCGUAUUUUGUUUAAAGUCAUAUCAAAUAAAGAUGCGUCAAAUAGACAAAUGCAGCUUGAAUUACAACAUUAUAUUUUGUAACAUACCAAACAGUGUCAUUUCUCUUAAUAU